CACCUUAAAAUGAAUUUUCUCUAGGGAAACAACAAAAUGAACCCUGCACUUGGGCAAGCUAAAGAGCCUAUUUUCAGCCCUACUGAAUGUCAAGCAAAAGGGAGGGUAUCUGAUAAAAAAUUACAAUUGGAAUGAGGAGAUGACCUUGAGAGGACAGACAAGGGUUUAGCAUCACUUGUGCUACAGGGAUGGCAAAACACAUGAGAGUAGAAGAAAAUGCCAAGGAAGAGAAAAAAGGGAUACAAAAUUUAAUUCGCAACUAAGUCAAUUAUUAGUGGCUACAAGAGAGAAAUAGAAGCAAUAAAAGGAUGGGGAGAAGCUGGAGUCAAAGGGAAAGAAAGUGAAUCACAUGCUUCAUCUUGCAAAAGCCAAGAAGUAUAAUAACAUCCCAAGAAGGACAUGGAACAACAUUUCAUUUUCAGUACCAUUAGCUGAAGAAGUAUUAAGGCAAGGUUGCCUUCUUAAUGAUUAUUACAUGUGUUCUAUCCUCAGUACAUCAUUUACAAUAUUCAGGACUUGGAAUAAAGUACUUUGAACUCCCCAGCGGCCAGUCAGAAAAUGAGGAACAGGUUGUGAAUAGAAGAUACAAAGGAGUAUUAGAUCUGCAUUGAUUAAAUGGUGACUACAAAUAGACUUAAAAUACAUCUUCCCAAUUAUGAAUCUCUACAGGUGGGUGGCUUUGUCCUGUUCACCCAACUGGAAUGGUUGCAUCGAAGUAAGAAAAUUUUCUCCAAAAAUUAAUACCCAGAUCUACGCCAAAAACAAAGUGAAGAAUACAGCUUCUGCCCUCACCAAGUCAUCUCUAAUAGAGAGAUUUCCUUAAACAUAAAUAUCUUCAAAAUGCUUGUUCAUUUGAGAGAAAGAUACAGAAUAUUUUACAUGUGCCCUUCGCUGG
rnacentral:lncRNA from 1 species